UACGUAGGUGGCAAGCGUUGUCCGGAUUUAUUGGGUUUAAAGGGUGCGUAGGCGGUCUUUUAAGUCAGUGCUGAAAUAUCCCGGCUUAACCGGGAGGGUGGCAUUGAUACUGAAGGACUUGAGUACAGUCGAGGUAGGCGGAAUUGACGGUGUAGCGGUGAAAUGCAUAGAUACAAUCAAGAACCCCGAUUGCGUAGGCAGCUAACUAGGCUGUAACUGACGCUGAGGCACGAAAGCGUGGGGAGCGAACAGG
rnacentral:rRNA from 1 species